rfam:Dipodomys ordii contig_27914, whole genome shotgun sequence.
GGUGGCUCAAUGGUAGAGCGCUUGCCUUGCAUGCAAGAGGCCCUGGGUUCGAUUCCUCAGCACCA